rnacentral:rRNA from 1 species
UACGAAGGGGGCUAGCGUUGUUCGGAAUUACUGGGCGUAAAGCGCGCGCAGGCGGUCCUUCAAGUCAGGGGUGAAAGCCCAGGGCUCAACCCUGGAAUGGCCUUUGAGACUAGAGGACUGGGUACGGGAGAGGUGAGUGGAAUUCCGAGUGUAGAGGUAGUAAAUCGUAGAUAUUCGGAAGAACACCAGUGGCGAAGGCG